UACGUAGGGGGCAAGCGUUGUCCGGAAUCAUUGGGCGUAAAGAGCGUGUAGGCGGUCCGAUAAGUCGGCUGUGAAAGUCCAAGGCUCAACCUUGGGAUGCCGGUCGAUACUGCCGGACUAGAGUUCGGAAGAGGCGAGUGGAAUUCCCGGUGUAGCGGUGAAAUGCGCAGAUAUCGGGAGGAACACCUAUGGCGAAGGCAGCUCGCUGGGACGUUACUGACGCUGAGACGCGAAAGCGUGGGGAGCAAACAGG
rnacentral:rRNA from 1 species